UACUAAAAAUACAAAAAAUUAGCUGGGCAUGGUGGCAGGCACCUAUAGUCCCAGCUACUUGGGAGGCUGAGGCAGGAGAAUGGCGGGAAGCUGGGAGGCAGAGCUUGCAGUGAGCCGAGAUCGUGCCACUGCACUCCAGCCUGGGCGACAGAGUGAGACUCCAUCUCAAAAAAAAAAAAAAAAAGAAAUACCAGGUGAAGCAUAUGCCCUGCAAGCUUAGGGGUGCUACAGUUGACCACUGCAGCAGUAAAGAUGACUGAAGAAUGGCAUGGGAUGGAUCCUUUCGAAUGCACUUGAGCAGCAGUCUCCAAACACAGGGCCACAGAGCCAGAGAAUGUAUUUGUCACUUCCAGCUGAAUCUACCAUGAAAGACU
rnacentral:lncRNA from 1 species